AGUGCCCAGGUGUGGUUAAUCCUG
rnacentral:miRNA from 1 species